GACGAACGCUGGCGGCGUGCUUAACACAUGCAAGUCGAACGGAAAGGCCCUGCUUUUGUGGGGUGCUCGAGUGGCGAACGGGUGAGUAACACGUGAGUAACCUGCCCUUGACUUUGGGAUAACUUCAGGAAACUGGGGCUAAUACCGGAUAGGAGCUCCUGCUGCAUGGUGGGGGUUGGAAAGUUUCGGCGGUUGGUGAUGGACUCGCGGCUUAUCAGCUUGUUGGUGGGGUAGUGGCUUACCAAGGCUUUGACGGGUAGCCGGCCUGAGAGGGUGACCGGCCACAUUGGGACUGAGAUACGGCCCAGACUCCUACGGGAGGCAGCAGUGGGGAAUAUUGCACAAUGGGCGGAAGCCUGAUGCAGCAACGCUGCGUGCGGGAUGACGGCCUUCGGGUUGUAAACCGCUUUCGCCUGUGACGAAGCGUGAGUGACGGUAAUGGGUAAAGAAGCACCGGCUAACUACGUG
rnacentral:rRNA from 1 species